ensembl:lncRNA
GGCCGGGAACGGGACGAGGGGCGGCCGCCGUCCCGAAAAACAGCGGCAAGGGUGCGGUGGCGCCCCGUACAGCCCUGAGACCACACUCGGGGUCAUCACCGCCUCGAAAGUCGGGAUCAUCACUGUGUCGAAAUGCUGUCCUGUACAGCGCAAGUCCUGUGCCCCUCACUGAGAGGCGAUGGAUGGAUGGACUGAACAUGUGCACUCCUCAGAGAGAAUUUUCUCUAUUUUGUGCACUGGAAUGCCCCAUCCCACUAUCCCUUAGUGGGACACGCUGCAUGAUUAGGAGCUGGAGGGACAAGGUCCAUCCUGUGAGCAGCGGCAGCUUCGCUCUCCAUGGAGGACACUAGCUGUGAAUUCCAGAAUCACUUACAUUGGAAAUGAGAUCAUCGAGUCCAACCGUUCCCCCAGCACCUCCAAGGCCACCAAAGAACCACAUUCCCGAGUGCCACAUUCAGCUUUUAAAGCCCUCCAGGGAUGGUGACUCCCCUGCCUUCCUGGGCAGCCUGUUCCAGUGCUUGACAAGCUUUUGGUGAAGAAAUUUUCCUUAAUAUCCAAUCAAAACCUUCUUAGGUGCAACUUGAGGCCAUUUCCUCUUGUCCCAUCGCUUUUUAAUUUGGAGAAGUAGUGGUGUUAGUGAAGUUUCAAUCUACAAUUACUUAAAUUAAGGAAAACAAAGAAAGCAGCCCACAGAAUAAAUCAUAGCUGAGUUCCCAUAAACAUAUAUGGAAAUCACCUGAAGGUGCCCAUGACUUCAGUGGAAGGUCUUAGAAAUAGGGAAGCAGAAGGAGCAACAAACAGGUCCACCUCCACAGCAGAAGUGAGGCAUCCAUUUCCCAUAGAUACCUCAGAUAGAACCUUCAUUCUGAAGGAUCCCCAAGACCAAUCCAGACCACACAGCUUAAAUGGGGUGUGGGGGAACUUUCACAGCAAGAAGAUUUGCUAAAAGCCAUUAUUUUAUUCAGGUACUGUUAUCUGUUCUGUUCAGUUCUUUCCUUCUCUUUGGCUUGUUAAUAAGUAGUGUGGAAAACCUGCUUGCAGACAGGGAGACACCAUAUAAUUAAAGGUAUUCUAUUUAAUUCUGUAGGAACAACAUCAAUUUUCCUAAUACAGUGUAUGCAAUUUGAAAAAUCAGGUAAGCAGUGCAUACAUUUUUUAUUAACAUGAGGACCCUGAACUAUUACUAAUGAAGUACAGAAAGAAAAGACAGGACUCUCAGUAGGAAAAUACCAUCCAUUAAAUGUCUCCCUGGGGAUCAAAUGACACUUACAAUUGAAAGACAUUAACUACCUCCUACAUUUCAAUUGGUUACCAGCAGGAUGCCUAUUUGUAGAGAUUUGUGCUGCCUGUACUCUGUGAGUGUAAGAUGCCACAUUAAUAUUUUCUGACCUUUGCAGUAGAUAUUGCCCUUUUUUUUCACAGAUCAGCUGCCUGAUUUUACCUUUUAAAACCCUUGAUCCUGUUAAAGAAUGAGCAGAAGAGCAACUCUGUGAGUGGGCAGGGGUCUGCUGAAGCCAACAGACCUGCUGAACAUGUUCUGAAUGUUUUCUGAUACAUGUUACCCUUUACAACAAGGCUUCUAGGGUUCUUUUUGUAAAAGUGUACCUGCCUUUUACUAAAUGCC